rnacentral:lncRNA from 1 species
AAUGAGCUUUCCUGAUCUCAAAGCUACAAUAAGAGGACCUAAAAGUCAAAGAAAAUAAAGACAGAAUGUUUCACUGGCCACUGGCACUUGGCCAGGAUGCAGAGACUCUACAGUGGCAACACCUGACAGCCAAAAGUCCGCCAGUCUUACCGCCUGUUUCUCCACCAGGGGAGUGGAGCCACGGGUUGUUGCCUGGAGCCUGGCCACAACUUCCUUUUCCCAUCUGAAUAAGCCACUCAGCUUUUGUAAAUGUUGGCCACCAAUAAUUAGGAUAAGACUGACAGGGGCUGGCAACCACGUGGCCUGACCUUCCACCACCAGUAACACAUGACCCAGGCCGCUCGGCAACUCACUCCCUCCACCCCACCCAGGACAGGGUGCUCUGGGGACUGGCAUGUGGCCAAAGGCAGGCUCGCUGGAGACGUUAUGGGGAUGGUGAGGGAGGUGAGGGAAGGGGCAGCCCUUCCCUGGGGACUGCUCUCUGGAUGGAAGCUAUAAAGUUAAGGCUUCAACUGUCAUCUGCAUUGGGUUUCUAUUACUUGUAACCAAGAGCCUUGCUUAUUACAGUAACAGAAAACUAAAAUGUUAUCAUGGCUUUCAUUUCUUCCUUCUAUUUUUUUCCUACAUUAAUUUGCUUGUUUUUGCAAAAGUGGAAACCCAGAUCUUAAAGUAUAACUCAAUUGAACUCAACUGAAUCCUCCUUGAACUCUGCUUUGGUAUCCUAAACUAAUAAAGAAAAGAGGUUUACAUUUCAGAAACAAGUCCUCCAAGCCUAAUCAAAAAGUUCCAGAAAACUGUUUUCUCUAGGAAGGCAGUAUAGAUGAUGCGAGCAAUGUGAGCGCUAAGUGUGAUCUCCGUUCCAACACUGUCUCAACUGCUCAGUAGCCGUGUGAACUCAUCUGUCUUUUGGAAAAUAUCUCCUCCCAUGGAGAAGAACACAGUACCCACCUCAUAGGUGGAGAUAUUCAAUGAGGUGGCACAAGUCACGUGUACGCAUCUCCCCAUAUCCUUUCCCAAACUCAACACGAUGGCACUUUUUGCUUUUUAAAUUAAAAAAAAAAAAAGCUAAUUUUAAUGUUAACAUUUACCAAGUGCCAGACACUAUUUUAACUGCUUUCCAUCUAUCAACUCAUUUAAUCCCCAAACAAGCUGGUGAGGCAGGUGCCAUUAGUACCCACCUCUUUCUCAGCGAGGAACAGGAGGCCGAGUGACCUGCCCAGCGUGUCCCAC